rfam:Gossypium hirsutum cultivar TM-1 chromosome 13, whole genome shotgun sequence
AGCCCAUGGUGAGGGCAUCUUGUCAAGAGAUUCUUGUAUCUCUCCCAUGCAUCAUAGAGUGUCUCUAGAUUCAUCUGCACAAAAGAAGAGAUAUCAUUCUUCAAUUU